UAGCGCUGGCGGCAUGCUUACACAUGCAGUCGAACGGCAGCGCGGGGCACCUGGCGGCGAGUGGCGAACGGGUGAGUAAUAUAUCGGAACGUACCCUGGAGUGGGGGAUAACGUAGCGAAAGUUACGCUAAUACCGCAUACGAUCUAAGGAUGAAAGUGGGGGAUUCGCAAGAACCUCAUGCUCGUGGAGCGGCCGAUAUCUGAUUAGCUAGUUGGUAGGGUAAAAGCCUACCAAGGCAUCGAUCAGUAGCUGGUCUGAGAGGACGACCAGCCACACUGGAACUGAGACACGGUCCAGACUCCUACGGGAGGCAGCAGUGGGGAAUUUUGGACAAUGGGCGAAAGCCUGAUCCAGCAAUGCCGCGUGAGUGAAGAAGGCCUUCGGGUUGUAAAGCUCUUUUGUCAGGGAAGAAACGGUUGUUCCUAAUACGGAUGACUAAUGACGGUACCUGAAGAAUAAGCACCGGCUAACUACGUGCCAGCAGCCGCGGUAAUACGUAGGGUGCAAGCGUUAAUCGGAAUUACUGGGCGUAAAGCGUGCGCAGGCGGUUAUGUAAGACAGAUGUGAAAUGCCCGGGCUUAACCUGGGAACUGCAUUUGUGACUGCAUGGCUAGAAUCUGGCAGAGGGGGGUAGAAUUCCACGUGUAGCAGUGAAAUGCGUAGAGAUGUGGAGGAACACCGAUGGCGAAGGCAGCCCCUGGGUCAAGAUUGACGCUCAUGCACGAAAGCGUGGGGAGCAAACAGGAUUAGAUACCCUGGUAGUCCAGCCCUAAACGAUGUCUACUAGUUGCCGGGUCUUAACUUGACUUGGUAACGGCAGUUACGCGUGAAAGUUAGACCGCUGGGGGAGUACGGGGCGCAAGGAUUAAAACUUCAAAGGGAA
rnacentral:rRNA from 1 species